rnacentral:lncRNA from 1 species
GUUGUGUUGUGUCUUCAGCAAUAGGGCUUGCUUGCAUGCUGUAGCAAACAGGCAAGAGCACUGGCAAGAACCUAUAUUUUUCAAGACUCACUUAAACCUUAUAGCCAACAAUUUGCAGCUUGUUGUUGUAGUUGUUGUUGUUGUUGUAGUUGUUAGAUAGUCUAUGACUCUAGAAGGAAGCAGUAUCCCACUGUGUGGAAUAACUCCUAAAAUUGUAUAUGUGUGUGUAUCUGUGUGUGUGCAUGUGUGUGUUUGUAAAUGUAUAUAUGUUUUUAAAUAUGCUUAUCAAAUAAUAGGUUUGCAAUGGCUUUUCUAGAAUUCCUUAGUGUUAUCCCUUUUCCUCUGUAUUAACCCUUCCCCAGUUAGGUCCCCCACCCCAUCAUUCCCUUUUCUCCUUUAUAGCACCUUUGUCCUAUGAGACUCUUCUUGUGCUUGUUCUACCCUUCACCUAAUGGUUCCUUUUUACCAUCCUGGAUUCUAGGAGUACUCAGAUGGAGUGGUUUGAUUGAGAAUGGCCUCAUACACCAUGUAUUUGAAUGCUUGGUCCCUAGUUUACGGAUUGUAUGGGAAGCAUUAGGAGAUGCAGUUUUCUUGGAGAAGGUGCUUCACUGGAGGCAGGCUUUGAGGUUUCAAAUGUCCAUGCCAUUCCCAGUUUGCUCUCUUUCUCUCUGCCUCCUCCUUGCAGAUCCGUAUGUAAGCUCUCAGCUACUGCUCCAGUGCUAUACCUGCCUGCCUGCUACCAUGCUCCCUUAUCAUGGUGGUCAUGGACGAUAACUUGCUGAAACUGUAAGCCCUAAUAAACUCUUUGUAUGUUGUUGCCUUAGUCAUUGUAUCUUUUCACAACAAUAGAAAAGUAACUAGGACAGCAAGGUUACAUUGAAACCUAAAGGUUCAUAUUUUGAAUUUAUACAUAAUAGAGAAUGUGACAUAUGUUCUUCUGGGUCAUAGUUUAUGUUAUAUGUAUAUUUUCUGAUUCUCCUUGUUUUCCAAAAAGUUUUAUGAUAUCAUUUUCUUUAAAGCUAAAUACAAUUCUUUUGUGAUUAUGUACUUCAUUUUCAUUGUCUGCAAGUUCAUUACUUGGCGAACAUUUAAUAUGCUUACCUUCAUUACAUACAUAUUGUGAGUAGAGCAGAAAUAAAUAUGACCAAGCAAGUAUCUCAAUAGUAGGAUAUCAUGUCCUUUGGACUUAUGCCAAAGAAUGAAAUAGUUCUGUCAUAUAUUUAUUAUAGUAACAUAUAAUAGUAUUUUCAUUUAUUGUGCUUUGAGACUCAUUGAGAUUGUUGGAUGUUUGAAUUCAAGAAUUUUUUUUUAAAGGAUAUGAAGAUGUUGCCAUUGUUGUCUGCUUCGCUCUUGUCCUUGAAUUCUCAUUCAGGCAUAUGCAAGGUCUCUUCAUAUUCUUUUACAUGGGUUUUAGUUCAAAAGACUUAUUUGGUGUGGUCUAUUAUGCCUUCAGGUAUGGUUCUCUUACUAACUUUCAGCUGUACUAUGGAUUUUGUUCUUUUGCUUUAAGGUUCAUCCUCUGUGAUUGUAGAGUGGUGAUUUUCAUGUUAAAGGUCAUGUUCUUAUAGAGUAUUAGGACUAAUGUUGAAACAUACUAUUCAUCCUAUAUGUAUAAAGUGUAAUCACCAAUGCUAACAUCUUAGGCAUAGACUUGUCAAAUUUUAUUAUUAUAUACAUAAUGUUCUAUAUUUUAUAAACAUUUAUUUUAUACUGGAUUGUGCAUCUUUCUUUGAACUUGAUAUUUGAAAAUAUUUUGAUAUUUGUAAUUAAAGUAGAAUUUUGAAAAGAAUGUAUUUUCUUAAAAUGCUCAAGAACAAGUAUUAUAAAAUUCUAUUAAUAUAGGACCACUUUGAAUACUUAGCCUAAGCCUUUGUAGCCUGAAGAAGCAAGGGAAGGUUCAGGUUGCAGAUUUCAGCAAGAAAAAUUAGUAUUAUAGCUUUUAAAAGAUAUUUUUUUUCCCUAUACAAGCCCUAAGUUUUACAAGCAAUUUCCCAUGGGGAAAUACCCAAACUAGGAGUAGGGGAACUGCCACUAAGCACAGUGCUUAGUCUAUGGAAACCUACUGUUAGAAGUUACCUUUUGACUCAGGUACUUUUGAGCAGAUUACUUGAUCUAUCCAUUGACCAUUGCAAUGGAGCUAUUUAAAGAUUGCUUGUCAUGAUUAAUUAAUAUCUUUGAAGCACUAAGAAUACAAUAAACUGUAUGUGUUCAGCAUUCUCGUUAUCACUUUAUGUGGUUAUGCUUAUUACAUUAAGUGGGUAAUGCUUUCUGGGUUCAGCACUGUAGAUGGUCUACUUUUAGAUAACUCAAUUUUCAGGCUUUGGAUUUAGCAAAUAUUUCAUGUUGUUUAAAAUUUAAAAAGCCUUAAAAUUUUUGACUUAGCAUCAAGUGUUACAGGCUUUAUUAUCUCAUAUGUAUUAUUCUAACCUUUCUUGGUGGCUAAUCCGUAAGUUUAUACAUAAUGUUUUCAUAGUUUAUCUGGUAUUUUAGUAAUUCUUCAGUUGUACUCAUUUUACAGGAAAUAUAAACACAUUAUUCCUUAGGAAAGGCUAAAUCUCAAAUUGAUCCUGAAAUUUUGCCAGAAUAGGUGGACAAAAACACAAGUAUAUGUGUCCUGAACAUAUCUGUCAUAGGCAAACAUACUACAUUUAAUUGUAAUGCUAAUGCAGUAUUCUAGCAAAUGUUAAUUUAACAUGUAUUUUUUUCCUUCUCUUUAAAGAUUUAUUGGGAUUUUUUGCCCUUGUCUUAAAUCUGUUCCCAUUUCAUUUUUUUUAAAAGAAAAUACACAAAACAAUAACCACAAUAUCAAAGUUUCACAGGGUUAAUCCAAAGGAGGAAAAGAGCCCAAGACAAAGCACAACAAUCAGACUCACUUGUUCACACACUCAGGAGUCACAUAAAAGUACUAAACUGAAAGCCAUAAUAUAUACACAGACCAACUUAGGCCCUGUGCUAACUGGUUCAGUAUCCAUGAGUUUGCUGUCUUCUCCUGAUGUCCCCUCUGACUCCCAUCCUCCUUCCACCUUCUCUUCCUCAAGGGUCUGUUAGCUCUGAGGGGGGAGAAUUGAUGGAGACAUCACAUUUAGAUCUGUGUGUUCCAAGGUCAGUCAGUUGGUCUGUACUCCUCCAUCACUGCUCUGACUCCCCCUCCCUGUAUGUCUGGGGAGGGGGUACACACGUGCGUGUGCAUUUAUGUGUGCAUGUGUGUAAAAUGUGGUGGGUCUCAAUAUUUUUUCCCAUCUGCUUCGAGGGAAAUCCUCAGAGAAUGGUUCAAUUAAACACAGAUCUAUGAGUAUAGCAGAAUAUCGUUUGGUUUCAUUUUUAUUGUUAACUUAAUUAAAAAAGACCAGUACUAUGGGGGUUUAUCCUAGGUCUCUAGUCUAUCUAGUCUUUGGUUUUCGGUCAUUCAGGCAGUGCAGGGUGUCAGUUCUGUCUCAUGUAGUGUAGCUUAUGUCAAAUGAAAUUGGUGGGCUGCUCCCACAAGCUUCAUGCCACCAUUACUCUAGCAUAUUUUCUAGUUAGUGCAGAUUGUAGAUCAAAGGGUAUAUGGCUAGGUUGGUUUUUAUGAUUCUCUGUUGGUAGCCUUCAGAAUACCUUCCCUGUACCAGAAGCACUAGAACACAGGCGCAAAGGUUCUUAUGGGCACCAGCUGUACCUCUCCGUAGUCAGUGAUUUAUGUGAGUGUUGUCUUCAACAAUGGGUGCUUGCUGUCAGUUUGUAGACAACAGCCUAUUGCCUUGCCAACAACCUAAGUUGUUCGGGACUUUGUGUGGGGCCCCUUUGGCCAACAACUUAGUUGGAUAUAACCCAGUCUUGGCACUGGAAGCUUCACUUGGUAACAAGGCAUGGUCAAAUAGGGCUCCAUCUACGUCAUUAUUGGAAACUUCAUCAGGAUUGCCAUCAUAUAUUUUAGGAAAUUUCUGCUACGCUGGUUUUCCCUACCCACAUUCAGUUCUACCUGCCUCUUCCCAUAUUCCUUUCCUCAACCCCAUGUUUAAUUUGCGUUCCCUGAUGGCUAAGGAUGAAUGUGUUUUCUCAGCAUUUGAGUUUCCUCGGUUAAGAAUUCUGUUUAGAUCUAUGCUGUAUUUUUUUUUAUUGAAUUAUUUGGGAUUUCUUAAAUUUUUUAAAAAUAUUUUAGACAUUAGUCCUCUUAGACGUGGUUGGCUUAAAAACACAAAUCCUAUUUCUUAGGCGUCCCCUUUGUCUGAAAGACAGUGUCCCUUUCUAACAAAAGUGUUUCAUUUUCAUGAGGUUCCACUUAAUAAUUGCUGAUCUUAGGUCCUGUGCUAAUGGUGUUCUGUUCAGAAAGUCUUAUCCUGUGACAGUGAGUUCAAGGUUAUCCCCCACUUUCUCUUCUAUCAUGUUCAGUUUAUCUGGUUUAAUGUUGAGGCCUAUUUGGAAUUGAGUUUUGUGCAGGGUAAAGAAUGUGGAUAUAUUUACAUUCUUCUACAUGCAGACAUC